UACAUUGGGUUGGCGAAAAAGUUCGUUCAGGUUUUUCUGUACUAUCUUAUGGGAAAACCUGAAUGAAUAUUUUGGCCAACCAAAUAUAU
rnacentral:miRNA from 1 species